UACGAAGGGGGCUAGCGUUGCUCGGAAUCACUGGGCGUAAAGGGUGCGUAGGCGGGUUUUUAAGUCAGGGGUGAAAUCCUGGAGCUCAACUCCAGAACUGCCUUUGAUACUGAAGAUCUUGAGUCCGGGAGAGGUGAGUGGAACUGCGAGUGUAGAGGUGAAAUUCGUAGAUAUUCGCAAGAACACCAGUGGCGAAGGCGGCUCACUGGCCCGUUACUGACGCUGAGGUGCGAAAGCGUGGGGAGCAAACAGG
rnacentral:rRNA from 1 species